rnacentral:sRNA from 1 species
GGAGGGGUUGCUGCAGAGGGAUGUCAACCGGAGAUUGGGCUGCCUGGGCCGAGGGGCUCAGGAGGUGAAAGAGAGCCCCUUUUUCCGCUCCCUGGACUGGCAGAUGGUCUUCUUGCAGAAGGUAACAGUCUGUGGCAGGGACUGGGGGUGCUCUGCAGCCCCACCCCCGAGCUAAUGCCCAUGACCCCUGUUCUGCUGCAGUACCCUCCCCCGCUGAUCCCCCCACGAGGGGAGGUGAACGCGGCCGACGCCUUCGACAUUGGCUCCUUCGAUGAGGAGGACACAAAAGGAAUCAAGUUACUGGACAGUGAUCAGGAGCUCUACCGCAACUUCCCCCUCACCAUCUCGGAGCGGUGGCAGCAGGAGGUGGCAGAGACUGUCUUCGACACCAUCAACGCUGAGACAGACCG